rnacentral:lncRNA from 1 species
GGUGGAGAUGAAGUUAAAAAGAAACAAAGAAAUCCAAUGAUGAAGAAGAAAAAAACCAUGAUGCUAUCCCUCCUGCAUACUAGACAGUGAUCUAGAGAGGAAGUGCAAUACUGUGGUCAAAUACAAGGAAUUGGAAGCCAAACUUUCAGGAUUCAAAUCAUGGCUAAGUUUCAAAUCAACAAAUUACUUGGGGGAUCUUAAGAAAACUAACUUAGCCUUGUUGUGCCUCCAUUUAUUCAUCUGUAAAAUGAAAGUUGAAAUUUGGACAUAGAGACAGACACACACAAAGGGAAGAUGAUGUGAGGAGCCCCAGGGAGAAGAUGGCCACCUGAUUGAUGGGAUGUAUUCUCAAGCCAAGAAAAUUCAGCAAUUGCCAACACACACCAGAAGCUGCAGGAGGCAAGGAGGGACUGACUCCUCUGUCUGACCAUCAGAGACAGCAUGGCCUGAUGACACCUUGAUUUUGUACUGAUAGCCUGCAAAAAUGCAAGGC